UAGGGAAUCUUCCACAAUGGACGCAAGUCUGAUGGAGCAACGCCGCGUGAGUGAAGAAGGUCUUCGGAUCGUAAAGCUCUGUUGUUGGUGAAGAAGGAUAGAGGCAGUAACUGGUCUUUAUUUGACGGUAAUCAACCAGAAAGUCACGGCUAACUACGUGCCAGCAGCCGCGGUAAUACGUAGGUGGCAAGCGUUGUCCGGAUUUAUUGGGCGUAAAGCGAGCGCAGGCGGAAUGAUAAGUCUGAUGUGAAAGCCCACGGCUCAACCGUGGAACUGCAUCGGAAACUGUCAUUCUUGAGUGCAGAAGAGGAGAGUGGAACUCCAUGUGUAGCGGUGGAAUGCGUAGAUAUAUGGAAGAACACCAGUGGCGAAGGCGGCUCUCUGGUCUGCAACUGACGCUGAGGCUCGAAAGCAUGGGUAGCGAACAGGAUUAGAUACCCUGGUAGUCCAUGCCGUAAACGAUGAGCGCUAGGUNUUGGGGACUUU
rnacentral:rRNA from 1 species